rnacentral:rRNA from 1 species
AUUGAACGCUGGCGGCAUGCCUUACACAUGCAAGUCGAACGGCAGCACGGGAGCAAUCCUGGUGGCGAGUGGCGAACGGGUGAGUAAUAUAUCGGAACGUGCCCAGUCGUGGGGGAUAACGUAGAGAAAUUUACGCUAAUACCGCAUACGAUCUAAGGAUGAAAGCGGGGGACCGUAAGGCCUCGCGCGAUUGGAGCGGCUGAUAUCAGAUUAGGUUGUUGGUGAGGUAAAGCUCACCAAGCCGACGAUCUGUAGCUGGUUUGAGAGAACGACCAGCCACACUGGGACUGGGACACGGCCCAGACUCCUACGGGAGGCAGCAGUGGGGAAUUUUGGACAAUGGGCGCAAGCCUGAUCCAGCAAU